AUUGAACGCUGGCGGAAUGCUUUACACAUGCAAGUCGAACGGUAGAGGGGGCAACCCCUUGAGAGUGGCGAACGGGUGAGUAAUACAUCGGAACAUGCCCAGUCGUGGGGGAUAACGUAGCGAAAGCUACGCUAAUACCGCAUACGAUCUAUGGAUGAAAGCGGGGGACCGAAAGGCCUCGCGCGAUUGGAGUGGCCGAUGGCAGAUUAGGUAGUUGGUGGGGUAAAGGCCUACCAAGCCUGCGAUCUGUAGCUGGUCUGAGAGGACGACCAGCCACACUGGGACUGAGACACGGCCCAGACUCCUACGGGAGGCAGCAGUGGGGAAUUUUGGACAAUGGGCGCAAGCCUGAUCCAGCCAUUCCGCGUGCAGGAUGAAGGCCCUCGGGUUGUAAACUGCUUUUGUACGGAACGAAAAGGUGGCCUCUAAUACAGGUUGCUGAUGACGGUACCGUAAGAAUAAGCACCGGCUAACUACGUGCCAGCCGCCGCCGUAA
rnacentral:rRNA from 1 species